UACGGAGGGUGCGAGCGUUGUCCGGAAUUACUGGGCGUAAAGGGCGCGUAGGCGGGAUGGCAAGUCGGUCGUGAAAUCCCUCGGCUCAACUGAGGAUCGUCGAUCGAUACUGCCGUUCUUGAGGAUUGCAGAGGAGACUGGAAUUCCCGGUGUAGCGGUGAAAUGUGUAGAGAUCGGGAGGAACACCGGUGGCGAAGGCGGGUCUCUGGGCAAUUCCUGACGCUGAGGCGCGAAAGCGUGGGGAGCAAACAGG
rnacentral:rRNA from 1 species